rnacentral:rRNA from 1 species
AGUGAACGCUGGCGGUAGGCCUAACACAUGCAAGUCGAACGGCAGCACAGUAAGAGCUUGCUCUUACGGGUGGCGAGUGGCGGACGGGUGAGGAAUACAUCGGCAUCUACUUUUUCGUGGGGGAUAACGUAGGGAAACUUACGCUAAUACCGCAUACGACCUACGGGUGAAAGCAGGGGAUCUUCGGACCUUGCGCGAUUGAAUGAGCCGAUGUCGGAUUAGCUAGUUGGCGGGGUAACGGCCCACCAAGGCGACGAUCCGUAGCUGGUCUGAGAGGAUGAUCAGCCACACUGGAACUGAGACACGGUCCAGACUCCUACGGGAGGCAGCAGUGGGGAAUAUUGGACAAUGGGCGCAAGCCUGAUCCAGCCAUACCGCGUGGGUGAAGAAGGCCUUCGGGUUGUAAAGCCCUUUUGUUGGGAAAGAAAAGCAGCAGGUUAAUCCCCCGCUGUUCUGACGGUACCCAAAGAAUAAGCACCGGCUAACUUCGUG